UCGAUGGAGAGUUUGAUCCUGGCUCAGGACGAACGCUGGCGGCGUGCCUAACACAUGCAAGUCGAACGGGGUCCAUGAGAGCUUGCUC
rnacentral:rRNA from 1 species